UACGAAGGGAGCUAGCGUUGUUCGGAAUCACUGGGCGUAAAGCGCACGUAGGCGGAUUUGUCAGUCAGGGGUGAAAUCCCGGGGCUCAACCUCGGAACUGCCUUUGAUACAGCAAGUCUUGAGUUCGAGAGAGGUGGGUGGAAUUCCUAGUGUAGAGGUGAAAUUCGUAGAUAUUCGCAAGAACACCAGUGGCGAAGGCGGCUUACUGGUCCGGUUCUGACGCUGAGGCGCGAAAGCGUGGGGAGCAAACAGG
rnacentral:rRNA from 1 species